rnacentral:rRNA from 1 species
UACGUAGGGUGCAAGCGUUGUCCGGAAUUAUUGGGCGUAAAGAGCUCGUAGGCGGUUUGUCGCGUCGAAUGUGAAAACCCGGGGCUCAACCCCGGGCCUGCAUUCGAUACGGGCAGACUAGAGUUCGGUAGGGGAGUCUGGAAUUCCUGGUGUAGCGGUGAAAUGCGCAGAUAUCAGGAGGAACACCGGUGGCGAAGGCGGGACUCUGGGCCGAUACUGGCGCUGAGGAGCGAAAGCGUGGGGAGCGAACAGGA